CCACCGAAUGCCUAAGGUUUCCUGAGGAAGGCUCGUCCGCUCAGGGUCAGUCGGGACCUAAGUCGAGGCCGAUAGGCGUAGACGAUGGACAACAGGUUGAUAUUCCUGUACCACCUCCCCGCCGUUUGAGCAAUGGGGGGACGCAGAAGGAUAAGGCGAGCGCGCCGUUGGUUGAGCGCGUCCAAGCAGCAAGGUGGGAAACGAGGCAAAUCCCGUUUCCAUAACAUUGAACUGUGACGGCAAGGGGCGUAUGCCCUGGAGUCCCUGAUUUCACACUGCCAAGAAAAGCCUCUAGCGAGGCGGGAGGUGCCCGUACCGCAAACCGACACAGGUAGGCGAGAAGAGAAUUCUAAGGUGAGCGAGUGAACUCUCGUUAAGGAACUCGGCAAAAUGACCCCGUAACUUCGGGAGAAGGGGUGCUCUGGUAGGGUGUUACAGCCCGAGAGAGCCGCAGUGAAUAGGCCCAGGCGACUGUUUAGCAAAAACACAGGUCUCUGCAAAACCGUAAGGUGACGUAUAGGGGCUGACGCCUGCCCGGUGCUGGAAGGUUAAGGGGAGUGCUUAGCGCAAGCGAAGGUGCGAACUGAAGCCCCAGUAAACGGCGGCCGUAACUAUAACGGUCCUAAGGUAGCGAAAUUCCUUGUCGGGUAAGUUCCGACCCGCACGAAAGGCGUAACGAUCUGGGCACUGUCUCAACGAGAGACUCGGUGAAAUUAUAGUACCUGUGAAGAUGCAGGUUACCCGCGACAGGACGGAAAGACCCCGUGGAGCUUUACUGCAGCCUGAUAUUGAAUUUUGGUGCAACUUGUACAGGAUAGGUAGGAGCCAGAGAACCCGGAGCGCCAGCUUCGGGGGAGGCGUCGGUGGGAUACUACCCUGGUUGUAUUGAAAUUCUAACCCACGCCCCUGAUCGGGGCGGGAGACAGUGUCAGGCGGGCAGUUUGACUGGGGCGGUCGCCUCCUAAAGAGUAACGGAGGCGCCCAAAGGUUCCCUCAGAAUGGUUGGAAAUCAUUCGCAGAGUGUAAAGGCACAAGGGAGCUUGACUGCGAGACGUACAGGUCGAGCAGGGUCGAAAGACGGGCUUAGUGAUCCGGUGGUUCCGCAUGGAAGGGCCAUCGCUCAACGGAUAAAAGCUACCCCGGGGAUAACAGGCUUAUCUCCCCCAAGAGUCCACAUCGACGGGGAGGUUUGGCACCUCGAUGUCGGCUCAUCGCAUCCUGGGGCUGUAGUCGGUCCCAAGGGUUGGGCUGUUCGCCCAUUAAAGCGGUACGCGAGCUGGGUUCAGAACGUCGUGAGACAGUUCGGUCCCUAUCCGUCGCGGGCGCAGGAAAUUUGAGAGGAGCUGUCCUUAGUACGAGAGGACCGGGAUGGACACACCGCUGGUGUACCAGUUGUUCCGCCAGGGGCAUCGCUGGGUAGCUAUGUGUGGCCGGGAUAAGUGCUGAAAGCAUCUAAGCACGAAGCCCCCCUCAAGAUGAGAUUUCCCAUUGCGCAAGCAAGUAAGAUCCCUCAAAGACGAUGAGGUAGAUAGGUUCGGGGUGGAAGCGUGGCGACACGUGCAGCUGACGAAUACUAAUCGAUCGAGGACUUAACCAA
rnacentral:rRNA from 2 species